rnacentral:rRNA from 1 species
UGGGGAAUAUUGCACAAUGGGGGAAACCCUGAUGCAGCGACGCCGCGUGAGCGAAGAAGGCCUUCGGGUCGUAAAGCUCUUUUAUGAGGGAAGAUAAUGACGGUACCUCAAGAAAAAGCCCCGGCUAACUACGUGCCAGCAGCCGCGGUAAUACGUAGGGGGCUAGCGUUGUCCGGAAUCACUGGGCGUAAAGGGUUCGCAGGCGGAAUAACAAGUCAGAUGUGAAAGGCAUGGGCUCAACCCAUGUAAGCAUUUGAAACUGUAAUUCUUGAGAAGUGGAGAGGUAAGUGGAAUUCCUAGUGUAGCGGUGAAAUGCGUAGAUAUUAGGAGGAAUACCGGUGGCGAAGGCGACUUACUGGACACAAAUCUGACGCUGAGGAACGAAAGCGUGGGUAGCAAACAGG